rnacentral:rRNA from 1 species
UUAUAUGAGAGUUUGAUCCUGGCUCAGGAUGAACGCCGGCGGUGUGCCUAAUACAUGCAAGUCGAACGCGUUGGCCCAAUUGAUUGAUGGUGCUUGCACCUGAUUGAUUUUUGUCGCCAACGAGUGGCGGACGGGUGAGUAACACGUAGGUAACCUGCCCAGAAGCGGGGGACAACAUUUGGAAACAGAUGCUAAUACCGCAUAACAGCGUUGUUCGCAUGAACAACGCUUAAAAGAUGGCUUCUCGCUAUCACUUCUGGAUGGACCUGCGGUGCAUUAGCUUGUUGGUGGGGUAACGGCCUACCAAGGCGAUGAUGCAUAGCCGAGUUGAGAGACUGAUCGGCCACAAUGGGACUGAGACACGGCCCAUACUCCUACGGGAGGCAGCAGUAGGGAAUCUUCCACAAUGGGCGCAAGCCUGAUGGAGCAACACCGCGUGAGUGAAGAAGGGUUUCGGCUCGUAAAGCUCUGUUGUUAAAGAAGAACACGUAUGAGAGUAACUGUUCAUACG